rnacentral:rRNA from 1 species
AUUGAACGCUGGCGGCAUGCCUUACACAUGCAAGUCGAACGGCAGCACGGACUUCGGUCUGGUGGCGAGUGGCGCACGGGUGAGUAAUGCAUCGGAACGUGUCCUGUAGCGGGGGAUAACCUAGCGAAAGCUAGGCUAAUACCGCAUACGUCCUACGGGAGAAAGUGGGGGAUCGUAAGACCUCACACUAUAGGAGCGGCCGAUGCCGGAUUAGCUAGUUGGUGGGGUAAAAGCCUACCAAGGCGACGAUCCGUAGCUGGUCUGAGAGGAUGAUCAGCCACACUGGAACUGAGACACGGCCCAGACUCCUACGGGAGGCAGCAGUGGGGAAUUUUGGACAAUGGGGGAAACCCUGAUCCAGCCAUGCCGCGUGAGUGAAGAAGGCCUUCGGGUUGUAAAGCUCUUUCGGCCGGGACGAAAUCGCACGCGUGAAUAUCGCGUGUGGAUGACGGUACCGGAAGAAGAAGGACCGGCUAACUACGUGCCAGCAGCCGCAGUAA